rnacentral:rRNA from 1 species
AGCAGUCGCCGCGGGAAUACGGAGGGGGCUAGCGUUGUUCGGAAUUACUGGGCGUAAAGCGCACGUAGGCGGCUUGGUAAGUUAGAGGUGAAAGCCCGGAGCUCAACUCCGGAAUUGCCUUUAAGACUGCCGAGCUAGUAGGUGAGAGAGGUAAGUGGAAUUCCGAGUGUAGAGGUGAAAUUCGUAGAUAUUCGGAAGAACACCAGUGGCGAAGGCGGCUUACUGGCUCAUUCUAGACGCUGAGGUGCGAAAGCGUGGGGAGCAAACAGGAUUAGAUACCCCUGUAGUCCCUGUCUCUUAUAC